AGGCCUUGACAUGCAGAGAACUUUCCAGAGAUGGAUUGGUGCCUUCGGGAACUCUGACACAGGUGCUGCAUGGCUGUCGUCAGCUCGCGUCGUGAGAUGUUGGGUUAAGUCCCGUAACGAGCGCAACCCUUGUCCUUAGUUACCAGCACGUUAUGGUGGGCACUCUAAGGAGACUGCCGGUGACAAACCGGAGGAAGGUGGGGAGUGACGUCAAGUCAUCAUGGCCCUUACGGCCUGGGCUACACACGUGCUACAAUGGUCGGUACAAAGGGUUGCCAAGCCGCGAGGUGGAGCUAAUCCCAUAAAAACCGAUCGUAGUCCGGAUCGCAGUCUGCAACUCGACUGCGUGAAGUCGGAAUCGCUAGUAAUCGUGAAUCAGAAUGUCACGGUGAAUACGUUCCCGGGCCUU
rnacentral:rRNA from 1 species